rnacentral:rRNA from 1 species
AAAUUGAAGAGUUUGAUCAUGGCUCAGAUUGAACGCUGGCGGCAGGCCUAACACAUGCAAGUCGAACGGUAACAGGAAGCAGCUUGCUGCUUUGCUGACGAGUGGCGGACGGGGGCGACAUGUCCGGGAAACUGCCUGAUGGUGGGGGACAACUACUGCAAACGGUGGCUAAUACCGCAUAAUGUGGCAAGACCAAAGAGGGGGACCUUCGGGCCUCUUGCCAUCAGAUGUGCCC